CCUACGGGUGGCAGCAGUGAGGAAUAUUGGUCAAUGGUCGUAAGCCUGAACCAGCCAAGUCGCGUGAGGGAUGAAGGUUCUAUGGAUCGUAAACCUCUUUUAUAAGGGAAUAAAGUGGGGGACGUGUCCCGUUUUGUAUGUACCUUAUGAAUAAGCAUCGGCUAACUCCGUGCCAGCAGCCGCGGUAAUACGGAGGAUCCGAGCGUUAUCCGGAUUUAUUGGGUUUAAAGGGUGCGUAGGCGGUCUUUUAAGUCAGCGGUGAAAGUCCGGGGCUGAACCAUAGAAUUGCCGUUGAAACUGGCAGGCUUGAGUGUGAGUGAGGCAUGCGGAAUGCGUGGUGUAGCGGUGAAAUGCUUAGAUAUCGCGCAGAACCCCGAUUGCGAAGGCAGCAUGCCGGGCCAUGACUGACGCUGAUGCACGAAAGCGUGGGGAUCGAACAGGAUUAGAUACCCGGGUAGUC
rnacentral:rRNA from 1 species